rnacentral:lncRNA from 10 species
CUGAUGUAACAGCCUUGGGAAAGAGGUUGCAGUGAAAAGCUGGUCCUGCUGUGGUGGAGAGAAUGGAGGAAAGAUAAUAAAAGGCCAAACCUUUGCUCCAACUUUCUCCUUAGCUUCCCUUUGGAUCUGGAAAGCUGGGGACCCACACGGCAGAGCCAUGGUACUGGAGGAGCCAUUAACAAAGCUUUCAAUAAACCUCUCUUUCUUGAAGUUACCUGAGAAUGGAUCCAUUCCCUGCAACUGAAGAUUCUAAGGAACUGGGUUUCUCAGUAUACAAUGGGAAUGGUUGGGAGGAGGUAAAGAGUAGAAGACAGUAUCAAGAAUCCAGAGCCCAGCACCUGUAGUCCUAACUAUUCAGAUUCCUUGAGCCCAGGAGUUUGAGUCCAGCCUGGACAACAUAUUGAGACCCCCAUCUCUCUAAAAAAAAAGAGAAAGAAAGAAGGAAAGAAAAAAAGAAAGAAAGAAAGAAAGAAAGAAAGAAAGAAAGAAAGAAAGAAAGAGAAAGAAAGAAGGAAAGAAGGAAAGAAGGAAAGAAAGAAAGAAAGAGAAAGAAAGAAAAGAAGAUUGUAGCUAGGGGGAGAGUAGGUGAAAAGAUGAACAACAUGACCGGGAAGAUUUCCUAAUCUCACCACAGCCUGGCUCUACCUUAAGUCUUUAAUAAAAGCUUGACUGAAGGUACCAAGGUGUGCUGAAGUGGAAGCAAAGUUCUCCAAAGUCCAGCAUGGUAGACAUCAGUGGUGGUAACCAAGGACAGACCCCAAGGCAAGGUGAACCUCAAAAAUGGAACCUCAAGUCUAUGCAGUCCAGCUGCCCUCCCCACCAGAAAGUCCUUGUUCCAGCCCAACAUCAGUGCCUCUGAGUUUGUUUACUAGAAACAAAGGAAGAAUUUCCUUGUAAAAAUAUAGACAGAGUAGUCCCUGGCUUUCUCCUCUUGCAGGAAGGAUGGAUUCUCCCAUUCCAUACCAUCUUUCCCCCACACUGGCCCCAGAAAUACUUAAUUCAACUAUGUGAAAAUAAAGAUUGUUUUUGGUUUGAGGGCAUAGGGAUCCAUUUAUCCUUAUUCUUUAUGAGGCACUAAAUUAGCUUUGUAUGUUAUUAAAUGUGUCUCGUCAA